rnacentral:rRNA from 1 species
AUUGAACGCUGGCGGCAGGCCUAACACAUGCAAGUCGAACGAGUGGCGGACGGGUGAGUAAUGUCUGGGAAACUGCCCGAUGGAGGGGGAUAACUACUGGAAACGGUAGCUAAUACCGCAUACCAUCGGAUGUGCCCAGAUGGGAUUAGCUUGUAGGUGAGGUAACGGCUCACCUAGGCGACGAUCCCUAGCUGGUCUGAGAGGAUGACCAGCGACACUGGAACUGUGACACGGUCCAGACGCCUACGGGGGGCAGCAGUUGGGAGUAUUGCACCAUGGGCGCAAGACUGAUGCAGCCAUGCAGCGUGUAUGAAGAAGGCUGUCGGGUUGUAAAGUACUUUCAGCGGGGAGGCGUUACCCGCAGAAGAAGCACCGGCUAACUCCGGGCCAGCAGCCGCGGUAAUAC